GACGAACGCUGGCGGCGCGCCUAACACAUGCAAGUCGAGCGAUGAGAUUUGCAAUGAUUCCUUCGGGAAGAUUUGCAAAAGGAUUAGCGGCGAACGGGUGAGUAACGCGUGAGAAACCUACCUAUCACAACGGGAUAGCCUCGGGAAACUGGGAUUAAUACCGUAUGACACCCUAAUGACUCCUGUCAUCUGGGUUAAAGUGACUUAGCGGUGAUAGAUGGUCUCGCGUCUGAUUAGUUAGUUGGUGAGGUAACGGCUCACCAAGGCCACGAUCAGUAACCGGCCUGAGAGGGUGAACGGUCACAUUGGAACUGAGACACGGUCCAA
rnacentral:rRNA from 1 species